UACAGAGGGUGCGAGCGUUGUCCGGAAUCACUGGGCGUAAAGGGCGCGUAGGUGGCUGGGUAAGUGUGCGGGGAAAGCCCGGGGCUCAACCCCGGGUCGGCCGUGCAGACUGCCUGGCUCGAGCAUAGUAGAGGCAGGUGGAAUUCCGGGUGUAGCGGUGGAAUGCGUAGAGAUCCGGAAGAACACCGGUGGCGAAGGCGGCUCUCUGGGCCUUACCUGACGCUGAGGAGCGAAAGCGUGGGUAGCGAACAGG
rnacentral:rRNA from 1 species